rnacentral:lncRNA from 1 species
AUUAUCUCCUUGGGGGUUAGGAUUUCAAUAUAUGAAUUUUUGGGAAACACAAACAUUUAGCCCAUGACAGGGGCCAAGGGAGCGAGGUGGGAUCAGAAACCAAGGCCCUCAGAUGUGUGUGUGGCAGGGAGGGUGGUGGGUAAGAAACUCAUCAAUGCGGUUUCUGCACACGCCCUGUUUAUCCAGGCCCUUUGAUUCUCCCCAAGAGGGAGGAGACCAGCGAGGAAAUCAGCAUUGGGCGGAACAGAGAAAAGAGGUGGUAAAUUAUUACCCAUUAAGCUCCAGAGCCACAGGAGCAGUUAUAAAGUAGAAAGAUUUGGGAAGAAGGUGUGAUCAGGAGAAAGCAGAUUUUCCUCCUCCCCUUCUGCUGGGACAGAUGAAGACGCGGCGGGCACGGGGGACGGACGAGCAAGGACACAUGGUCAGAGGCACAAGGGAGUAAUUGUCAGGGACCCAAGUCACUUGCAGAGGCCUUUCUGAAUGGUGGGUUCUGAGGUGGCUGUAUCCAGGUGUGGCGUCUCCACCCUCAGCCUUGCAUGGAGAACCCAGGAAGCGAAGCUACAAGGGCAAAGCAGAAGGAUGGGG